rnacentral:rRNA from 1 species
GCUAAACGCGAAGAACCUUACCAAGGCUUGACAUGCAUCUCUAAGCGCGUGAAAGCGCGUGACCCUUCGGGGAAUUUGCACAGGUGCUGCAUGGCCGUCGUCAGCUCGUGUCGUGAGAUGUUGGGUUAAAGUCCCGCAACGAGCGCAACCCUUGUGAACAGUUGCCAGCGCGUCAUGGCGGGAACCUCUGUUCAGACUGCCCAGAUCAACUGGGAGGAAGGUGGGGACGACGUCAGGUCAGUAUGGCCCUCACGCCUUGGGCUGCACACGUACUACAAUGCCCAGCACAAUGAGAACCGAGACCGCGAGGUGGAGGAAAUCUGUAAAACCUGGGCCCAGUUCGGAUUGGAGGCUGCAACUCGCCUCCAUGAAGCCGGAAUCGCUAGUAAUGCUGCAUCAGCUACGGCAGCGUGAAUACGUUCCCGGG